rnacentral:misc_RNA from 1 species
UUGAUUUUAGUUAUUUGUGAACGUACUACGAACAAACAAAAAAUAUUAUAGUCAAAAAAAAAUUAAAUCAAAACUUUUAACAAUGGAUCUCUUGGUUCUCGUAUCGAUGAAGAACGCAGCGAAACGCGAUAUUUCUUGUGAAUUGCAGAAGUGAAUCAUCAGUUUUUGAACGCACAUUGCACUUUGGGGUAUCCCCCAAAGUAUACUUGUUUGAGCGUUGUUUCUCUCUUGGAAUUGCAUUUGCUUUUCUAAAAAAUCGAAUCAAAUUCGUUUGAAACUUCAUUUAUUUCAACCUCAGAUCAAGUAGGAUUACCCGCUGAACUUAAGCAUAUCAAUAAGCGGAGGAUCGGCAUCUUGUCAUUUAGAGGAAGUAAAAGUCGUAACAAGGUUUCCGUAGGUGAACCUGCGGAAGGAUCAUUACCGAGUACCGGGUCCUUGGGCCCCUACUCCCACCCUCUGUGUACCUACCGAUUUUUCGUUGCCUCGGCGGGGUCGAUCCCCAGGGCCUCUUCGGCCCUGUGGGGGACCCGCCGGGGGGACACGCCAAAACUCUUGUCAACGGUGACGUCUGAGAAAGAAAACAAACUAGUCA